rnacentral:lncRNA from 1 species
UCUUCUUUGAUUCUCUUAAUGCUCAUCUGGGUCAUGCUUCUAUAUUCAAAUCCUUGUUUGCAAUUGUUAUUGAGUAAGCUUGAUGGUUUAUAAGUUCACAGUUUCAACCAAGAAGCUGAUUACUAGAAUCUUGUUUGUCAAGAGGUACUAAAGCUUGGGCUACUUUUGAUUGCCAAACUUUGUUUCCAUUUUGCUGAUCAACCAAGAAGCUUCUCCCAUAACUGAAAUAGGCGUCAUUCUAAGGUGAAGAAAAAGAAGGUGAUGGGUCAAGUCAUGGGAUAGAGAUGGAUGAUGAUGUAGAAGAAGAAUAUUCAUGGUCAUGGUGCACAAGAAAUGGAAAUAAUAAGAAAUAACAUUAAUCAAAGUUUGAUGAGUGCGCGUAAUAACUUGAACAUUUGAAUAUGUUAUGAAAUUUUUUGUGGUUACUUGAUGUGAACCAGAAACCAAUUGUUAUUAAUAUUACUAAUAUAUUUGUAUAAGUUAUUUUUA